AUGCCUUAAACUAAUGAGUAAGGAAAAUAACGAGUCCGGGGAGAGACGGGCUCCACAGCCAAGUCUGUGAGGAAUUUAUUCUGGGGUACAGGUUGCCCUAGGGUGACCCGCCUACUUCUGCGGGAUGCCCUUCGUGCGCGACCUGCCCG